rnacentral:rRNA from 1 species
UCGGGAAUAUUGCGGCAAUGGAGGAAACUCUGACGCAGUGACGCCGCGUAUAGGAAGAAGGUUUUCGGAUUGUAAACUAUUGUCGUUAGGGAAGAUACAAGACAGUACCUAAGGAGGAAGCACCGGCUAACUAUGUGCCAGCAGCCGCGGUAAUACAUAGGGUGCAAGCGUUAUCCGGAAUUAUUGGGUGUAAAGGGUGCGUAGACGGGACAACAAGUUAGUUGUGAAAUCCCUCGGCUCAACUGAGGAACUGCAACUAAAACUAUUGUUCUUGAGUGUCGGAGAGGAAAGUGGAAUUCCUAGUGUAGCGGUGAAAUGCGUAGAUAUUAGGAGGAACACCAGUGGCGAAGGCGACUUUCUGGACGAUAACUGACGUUGAGGCACGAAAGUGUGGGGAGCA